AUGACUUCCAGAAGAUCAAAGUAAGCCUAGAGUCCGAAACUGCCAAAUUUAACCGAACAGAAGACGAGCUCGAAAGGACCAAAGUUAGUUUGGAGUCUGAAGUGACCAGAUCUAAUCGGACUAAAGAAGAGCUGAACACAUGCGCAGCAGAAUUAACUGUCUCUAAAUCUCAAAUGGAAGGAGUGAGAAGGUUCCAGAACAUCACGAAGUGGGAUUUUCUUUACACGGGCCCUUACAUUAAUAAAGUGUUCACUGAGGAUGUUUUGGAGGACCUGAAAUCUUCGUGGAAUUUAAUGAGUGAAUUCGUCGGGGUCAACAUCACAAAUGAGAUAGCGGAACACUUGCGAACACACGAUGUUGGUACUGCUAAGUGCGGUGCACAAAUGAAUGACAUCUUUUCCAUGUGGGGUGAGGAAGAUUAAUAUGCGAACUUAUGAAGAACGACAAAAUGGUGAUGACGAGGGGCCUUCUCCAGCACUUUAUUGAAAAUCACAACGAAGUGCCUUGUGAUGAAUGAGUUGGAUGCUGAUCAAGUUUACGAUGGAGAUUUGAAAUUAAAAGAGACCAAGUUCUUGAACGUUUUACGUUAUUUUUUAUACUAGAACAAUAAUUAAUCUAUUAAGGCAAGGGCCGCAAGUUGAUACGAUUAGCUUGCUCUGAUAACACGUAAAUGAAAAAAUGUCUGAUUCUUAC